UACGUAGGGUGCAAGCGUUGUCCGGAAUUAUUGGGCGUAAAGAGCUCGUAGGCGGUUUGUCGCGUCUGCUGUGAAAACUCAGGGCUUAACUCUGAGCUUGCAGUGGGUACGGGCAGACUAGAGUGCGGUAGGGGAGACUGGAAUUCCUGGUGUAGCGGUGAAAUGCGCAGAUAUCGGGAAGAACACCCGUGGCGAAGGCGGCUCUCUGGAACGCAACUGACGCUGAGACGCGAAAGCGUGGGGAGCAAACAGG
rnacentral:rRNA from 1 species